CCUACGGGAGGCAGCAGUGAGGAAUAUUGGUCAAUGGGCUUACGCCUGAACCAGCCAAGUCGCGUGAGGGAAGACUGCCCUAUGGGUUGUAAACCUCUUUUGUCAGGGAGCAACGCCGGCUACGUGUAGCCGGACUGAGAGUACCUGAAGAAAAAGCAUCGGCUAACUCCGUGCCAGCAGCCGCGGUAAUACGGAGGGUGCGAGCGUUAACCGGAAUUAUUGGGGGUAAAGGGCGCGUAGGCGGGAUUUCAAGUCACGGGUGAAAUCCCCGCGCUCAACGUGGGAACUGCCUUUGAAACUGGCAGACUGGAGUGGGUGAGAGGUAAGUGGAAUGCGAGGUGUAGGAGUGAAAUGCGUAGAUAUCGGGAAGAACAUCGGUGGCGAAGGCGGCAAGCUGGCACAUAACUGACGCUGAGGAACGAAAGCGUGGGUAGCGAACAGGAUUAGAUACCCUAGUAGUC
rnacentral:rRNA from 1 species